UCAUGGACGAACCGUUUUUUGCUUCAGUCAUUUGCUGCCGGGGUGAUUUUUUGCUGCCGGAGGUGUUUUUUUUGCUACAUGCAAAUCUAACCGUCAAAAUGGUUGAUCCGACGGCUGGGGACCCGGGGGCUGGGGAAUCAGAUCCCCCGGGGGACGCCCAGCAGUUUCCUUGCAAAAAUCAAUCCCCAUUCCCUUUCGUUUCUCCCGAGCAACCCCCUUCCUCGUUCGCACUCAUGGAUCUCAUUGACCAUCGAGAGGGAUGGCUGCCGACGGCCGCGACGCGAGCCCUGGACGUGACCCGCGCUAGCCCCGGGCGCCGUGACCUGGCCCUAUUCACACCGUUCCCCAUGUCUUCCCUGCGGUCCCCAACACCGAGGCGGCCGCCAUGAUCCACCAGAUUCUCCUCCUCACCUACCUCACAACCGCCACCACCCCUCGGUGAUCUUCCACAUGGCCGCCUCCAAGGGCUUCCUAAUCUACGGGGCGCUCCUCAAGACCUUUCCCUAAUUCCGUUAUCCUGUAGCGCCUACUGGACUGCUGCCUCAUCUCCGCUUUCGUCCUCACAGACCUCUCCACCGUCGCCGCUGCCAUCGCAUACCUCCUUUCGCGCUCCUCAACUGGUGUCCCGUCGUCAUGCUCCACGCCCAGGAAGACGUCGGGUCCUCCUCCGGCAAACGCUACGACGGGGAAGGGCCCGGGCAACUACCAGCUGAUGUUGGUACUGUUGGGAAAUCAGGUUCCUCGUCCAGCGGCAGGGACGAGCAAUGACGCGCCUGGCCGACUAUGGUCGAAUUUUGACUCCGAUCUGAAGGUGGGCUUCUUUGGUCUUGAUUUUCAGUGAGCAUUAUUUUCACAAGUGUUUUCUUCAUUGAUUAGGACAUUUACAUUUCUUCAUUGGUGCGGUGAUGCCUAAUAUCUCCCGAUUCAGAUCGUGCAUGUUCAUGUGCCAUCCAGAUGUAAUUUGAGGACGGCCAGACAGAGGAGAGGGUGCGGUCGCCGCGAGGUCCUUCAUGGGUGGCCUGGCAGAGAGAGUUGCAGCCAACGAACUCGCCCACAAUGCAAAUAUCCUGUGCGCAUGUACAUAGUCGUGACUACGCCCUCCGAUUUUCAGUACAUAUUUCAUCCAAAGAUGGGCUUCUUUAAGAGAAGCGAUGGUCGUUCUAGAAGAGGAGGUGUACCGGCCCUUUGAGCAGAUUGAGCACUACUGCCUUCUUCAGGCAGGUGCAAGGAAUGCCUUGGAGGACAAGUGAUUUCGUUGCUCUGUUAUUCAAGGUAGUCCAACUUCCUACUCCCAAUCACCAGGCAAGAAUAGCUAUAUCCUGUAAUUAUAUGUUGUAGCUUAACCUGCACACGUUGAAUCCAGAAGCUAUACUGGUGCUGGACUUGGUGCUGGACUGGUGCCAUGGGUUUCAGUUCCUAACUAAGGUGGAUUGCUAAUCACGUUUUUUACUCGCGGGUUUUCUACUCUGGAUAUUUGGCGUUCUAGAUCAUAUACAUGUUUCUAGGCACUCCAUUGUCCGUCCAGGCUCAACUUUCAGUGCGUCCACAACAGUUGCAUUGUGAGAUUAUUUCGUUUGCAUAUGGGUGAGAUUGUUUCAUGUUUGACCUACCAAAUAAUUAGUGUUCAGUCUUAUAACUUCAUUCGUGAGACAAAUAAUAGCGAAAGAUUAUUUUUGUGCCACUAUUUGUUUUUUAUUUAUUUAGAAUCUCUUUAUUCUCCAACAAGUGUUUACCCACCUGGUGUCAUUGCUCACAAUUAUAUCCUCAUUUCCUUGUUUGUAUCAGGUUAAGCACGUCAUUAGUGUCUCAUCAGUGUCAUGCGCGAUUCAAGGCCAUACAAGGAAGACCUAAUGAAAAAGGUGCACCUCAACAAGUUGAUGGAAAUGUAGAACAGUGAAAGUAACUUAUGCAUAUGGCCAUAAUACAUAGUAACUUAUGCAUAUGGCCAUAAUACAUGUACUGUGGUGGUGUUGUUCUCCUUCCUUAGUCUAUGACAGAAUGCAAGUACUUAUGCUAGCAUGUUAGCUAUGAAAAUAUUAUGUUAUACUGGGUGAUGAAAACGUAUCAUUGAUACUACA